rnacentral:tRNA from 1 species
GCGCCCUUAGCUCAGUUGGAUAGAGCGUCGGACUACGAAUCCGUAGGUCGGGGGUUCGAAUCCCUCAGGGCGCGCCA